AGGCCAAACUAAUAGACCCUCGGCGUAAAGCGUGUUCCAGAGAUAAAAUAAUAAAUAAGAUCAAACCUUGACUAAGCUGUAAAAAGCCUCAGACAUUGUAAGAUACAUAACGAAAGUAAUUUUAAAAAAUCUGAUUACACGAUAGCUAAGAUCCAAACUGGGAUUAGAUACCCCACUAUGCCUAGCCCUAAACAUAAAAAAUUAUAAACAAAAUUAUUCGCCAGAGUACUACUAGCAAUAGCUUAAAACUCAAAGGACUUGGCGGUGCCUUAUAUCCUUCUAGAGGAGCCUGUUCUAUAAUCGAUAAACCCCGAUAUACCUCACCAGUCUUUGCUAAAU
rnacentral:rRNA from 1 species